rnacentral:lncRNA from 1 species
CAGGAACUAACAAAUAUGAAAACUCAGGCAUAAAAAGGGAGUUUCAAUUCAAUACAUGUGAUGUAUAAACAUACAUAUAAAGGAAAACUUACUUCCUCUGGAUUGUGAAUUCGAGAAAUGAAAUGGCAAGGUGGAAGAGGAUGGAGCGCGAAGAAGCUGCAUUUUAGUGCAUACAAUACAACUGUGUGUUUUUUUCACGUUCUUAGUGCAUGUGUGUGUGGAAGGAAGGAAAGAGGUGAGGUUUUCUGAACAAAUAUUUUGAGCCUCAUGUCCAAUAUCUCAUUUCAGAAUGGGUUAAACACACAUUUGGUCCUUAUAAAAUCAAUUUGUUCUAUAUUAG